AGGAUGAACGCUGGCGGCGUGCCUAAUACAUGCAAGUCGAGCGGUAAGGCCACUUCGGUGGUACACGAGCGGCGGACGGCUGAGUAACACGUAGGAACGUACCCCAAACUGAGGCAUAAGCACCAGAAAUGGUGUCUAAUACCGCAUGUGCUCUUCGGAGUAAAGCUACGGCGGUUUGGGAACGGCCUGCGCAUGAUUAGCUUGUUGGUGAGGUAAAAGCUCACCAAGGCGACGAUCAUUAGCUGGUCUGAGAGGAUGACCAGCCAGACUGGGACUGAGAACGGCCCAGACUCCUACGGGAGGCAGCAGUAGGGAAUUUUCCACAAUGGGCGAAAGCCUGAUGGAGCAACGCCGCGUGCAGGACGAAGGCCUUCGGGUCGUAAACUGCUUUUAUCUGUGACGAUUAUGACGGUAGCAGAUGAAUAAGGAUCGGCUAACUCCGCGCCAGCAGCCGCGUAA
rnacentral:rRNA from 1 species